GUUUUUCUGAUAAUAAUAAUCGGGUUUAGGGCUGUUUCACUUAGUUGAUAAUAAAUUUUAUUCAGGUUAGGGUUUUGAAAAUAUUAAUCUAGUUCAGAUUCGAAUAAGAUGAUUUUAACCCUACCCGUUGCAAUCCCUAUGAGAGGAUUAGCAUUUACCAGAUGGAAAAUUUUUGUUUUUAUUAAUGAAUAAAAAUAAGUUCACCAAUUUUUUAAUACUUAGUCUUUAAAGCACAUGCAUCUUUU
rnacentral:misc_RNA from 1 species